UGGGGAAUCUUGCGCAAUGGGCGAAAGCCUGACGCAGCAACGCCGCGUGGGGGAAGAAGGCCUUCGGGUUGUAAACCCCUUUCAGGAGGGGCGAAGCUUCGGGAGUGAAUAGCUUUCCGGAGUGAUGGUACCUCCACAAGAAGCCCCGGCUAACUACGUGCCAGCAGCCGCGGUAAUACGUAGGGGGCAAGCGUUGUCCGGAAUCAUUGGGCGUAAAGCGCGCGUAGGCGGCCAGACAAGUCCGGUGUAAAAGCCCCAGGCUCAACCUGGGAAUGCCGCCGGAAACUGUCUGGCUAGAGUCCGGAAGGGGCGAGUGGAAUUCCCGGUGUAGCGGUGAAAUGCGCAGAUAUCGGGAGGAACACCAAUGGCGAAGGCAGCUCGCUGGAACGGUACUGACGCUGAGGCGCGAAAGCGUGGGGAGCGAACAG
rnacentral:rRNA from 1 species